GCGGAUGAUGGGCCUUGCCCAGUCUGAGUGGUGAUGACGUCGGUAUUAGCUGACGC
rnacentral:snoRNA from 1 species